UUACGGGGCGGUGUGAGAACGCUGAUCGGUGGAACACACACGCAGUGUAUCGCACUUCCUGGUACGGGCAGCCGCUGCAAACUUUAUUUCACUUCUACGGGUUCCACUUUGUUUGUGUUUUGAUUAAGGAUGGGUACCGAAACCCGGUACUGAAUUGGCCCCGGGGCUAAAUUAUCAAAGACCGUAGUACUGAUAAGCGCUAUUGGUAGCGGUUCUUUUGUGCCGGUGUCCUGACAAAUAGAGCUACCGCUCAGAAUGACCUACCAACACCAUGUGCGCAUGUGCAGAGCGAAAAAAAAAUUCCAGAGGACACGCCCAUAAUUUUAAACUACCCGGGAUCUUCAUGGUGGAAAGAGCGGUCUUUUACAGAUGGGGAACUUUUUAAUGGACAGAGGAAGGCUGUGAGGACAAAGGCAGAGUGCAAAACCCUGUUUUGUGAAUUCCAUAGCAGCCCUAUUGGAGGCCACAGCGGGAUUUUUAAAACAAGAAAUGCUUUGUCCAGUCGAUUCUACAGCCCAGGAAUCUCUACUGACAUUGAGAAAUGGGUCAGUGAAUGUGAUCAGUGCCAAAGGGUUGGUAAACCACUUGUGAUUGAUGCUAAACUGGAAAGUAUUAAGGUAAAUGAGCUUUUUGGUUUAUGUGAGUUACUGAAGAAUUAAAAAAAAAAAAUCAUUAAUCGGGGUAUAUAAACAUUUUACUCUCUGGCAAAUUGAAAAACAUAUAACCCCAAAUCCUACUAAAUAACCACAAACAGGAGAUUAUACUGUACUGUACAUCCAAUUCUGUUUUUGUUAGGUUUCAUCGGUCUGGGAAUUGCUUGGUAUUGAUCUCACAGGACCACUUCCGAAGACAUCUGAUGGCCAUAUUUACAUUUUGACAGCCACAGAUUAUUUCUCCAAAUGGGUGGAAGCAUUCCCAUUAAAAACUAAAACUGCUCAGGAAGUAGCUAGAAACCUUGUUUCUAUCAUUUACAGGCACAGUUGCCCAGUCAGAAUUCUCUCUGACCAAGGAAGAGAGUUUGUUAAUGAGGUGAGUCUUUGACAACAAAUAUAUACAUUAAUUCUUUUGGUAUAUGAGGCCAAUAUCCAACUUUUGCUCUCCAAACAAAAGCUCUGCCCCUCUCUUAAUCAGGGCUGUGCAGUAAUUUAUGUCUAAUCAUUCAUUUCUUCAGUCCUACUAUGUAUACUGUAAAAUCAAUUGUGAUGAAUGUUGUGAUAUGAAUUAAUUCUGUAUUGCGCAGCCCUACUGGAAAUGCUAUUUCACCAUUGUGUUGCAGUUCUUAAUUCUGGACUACUGGCUGGCUGUUUAAUGAUAUAACAUUAUUAUUAAUUCAUUUUAGAUUAACAGCUCUCUUUGUGACCUGCUGUCCAUAAAAACGGAGGUACGAACGGUCUGGAUGAAAAAACAAAUGACAAUAUAAAGAGGUAAUUAGUGUAUAUGUUACUUGCGCUAUUGUGUAUCCAUCUUAUCUUAUGAUGGAUACACAAUGAGUGUUCACUGUUUAUUACAAUUCUGUUUUUAGGGCCCUCAGAAAGCUUGUCAAUACCCAUCAAAAUGACUGGAAUGUCUUCUUGGAUGCAACUUUGUUCUCCCUGAGAUCAAAGAUUCAUACAUCAACAAAGUACAGCCCGUUCAUGUUAAUGUAUGGACGAGAGGCAAGAUUUCCCUCCGAAGUCCCAGAGGAAUUACCUCUUUCAAAUGUGGUUCUCCCUGUGACCGAUGACUACAGCACAUUUGUUGAACAAAGAGAAAAGGACUCUGAAACUCUGAAAGAAACUUCAAGUGAAAAUGUGAACAGAUCACAGAGGAAGCAACAAGAAGCCUAUGUAAAGCGCAUGCAAAAGAAAUACAAAAAUGUAACUUUCGAUGUAGGAAAUGAAGUCCUGCUUUACAAUGCCAGAAAAAGUGGAAGGAAGGGUAGUAGAAUGGCAGUAGACUUCUCUGGACCAUACACUGUUCACAACAUGUCAGGGAAGAAAGUGUCACUGACAAACCAGGAUGGUCAUUUACUGAAAACUACAUACAACAUAAAUAACCUAAAACCAUACAAGAGAAGCCACUUAAAGGAAGACAUCACAGAAACGACACAACUGACAGCAGAAAUUCUUCCUGUCAGUGGAUCGCCUUUCGAAGCCAGAGACCAAAUGUCAGAUGUGCCUUCUAGACCAUCAGUUAUCAAGUGGAUUCAAUCUAAAGUAAGCCAGAGGAAGACAGAAGAAGUUGAAAGGGAAAGAGAUACAAGCAGAAAAGAAAAAAGAAGGUCAGGAAAAGAGAACAGAGGAAGAUGGAAGGAAAGGAGAUGGAAGCAGAAAAGAAGAAGGUCAAGAAAAGGGAACAGAGGAGGUCGGAAGGAAAGGAGAUGCAAGCAGAAAAGAAGAAGGUCAGGAAAAGAGAACAGAGGAAGUUGGAAGGAAAGGAUAUGGAAGCAGAAAAGAAGAAGGUCAGGAAAAGAGAACAGAGGAGGUUGGAAUUAAAGGAGAUGGAAGCAGAAAAGAAGGUGGUCAGGAAAAGAGAACAGAGGAAGUCGGAAGGAAAGGAAAUGGAAGCAGAAAAGAAAAAGGUCAGGAAAAGAGAACAGAGGAGGUUGGAAGAAAAGGAUAUGGAAGCAGAAAAGAAGAAGGUCAGGAAAAGAGAACAGAGGAGGUCGGAAGGAAAGGAGAUGGAAGCAGAAAAGAAGAAGGUCAGGAAAAGAAAAGAGAGGAAGUUGGAAGGGAAAGAAAUGAAAUAAAGAGUAUGUUAUUCAGCAUUAUAUAAUGUAAUGUUAAAAUAUGCUCAUAAGAACAGUAAAUUUUUUGUUAUGUUACAGACUAGAUUUCGGUGCAAAUAUUACUUGGAAUACUUUUAAAACUUAAACCAGUAUUUCGUGCAAGAUGUUGAUUUUGGGGUUUUACUCUGAAAGUCUUACCAGAGUUGAAGCUGUGGUGGGACCAUACAAACUUUAUGAUUCAUCGUUAAAGACACUUAAAGGGAUGAAUUGGCUUUCAGAUGAGGUAAUUGACAGUUACCUUCACAUCCUUGCAGAAGAACAGAAGGACCACAUGUUUGUGCUGUCUUCGGUUAUGUCAACGUCUCUGAUUAAACAGAGAUGUUGACGCAUCUCUGUUUAGGUGUGUGAGGAAGGUAAAACUUAUGAGCUACACUUAUUUCAUUCAUAGAAGCAAUGUACUGCUACAAACUGUGGUGUAAACACUUUUCUUUUAUAGAUGAUCAUCCCAAACAGGGAUUUGUGGCUGUGUCCAUACAACACAGGAGGGCACUGGAUUCUUGUGGUCUGUAAAUCUAACAAUAUUAUAUAUUUAACAAUAUUCCACAUAAAUAUGCGACUAAAACAGAUAAACUGCAAUGUGUUACAGAUUGUGAAAAUGUCAGAAAAGGCCCUACUUGUUAUUGACCCCUUAAGGAAUGAGCAGAGAUACAGCAGGAGAAUCUUGAGAAACUGGAGGAAUUUCUUAAGGAUGAGAGAGCACCAAUCAAGCAGCGCAUCAUGGACAGUAGAAACACUGGGACAUGAGCUGCAGGUGCAUGGGAGUAGCUGUGGAGUCCUUAUUUUAAAAUUUGUGGAUGAAUACCUUCAGUCUGGAUCGAUCUUUGAUGUGAAGAACGAUCCUGCAUCUGUGCAGGCUGCCAGACUAUACAUUGCCUGCAAGCUCACUGAAAAUGGUGGUGGGUCCUCAACCUUACAGGAUAUUUCAACAUUGUUUAUUUUUUUUAUAUUUUCUGAUACUGUAGAUAAGGUGUAAUGGACUUACUAAAUCUCUUGUAUUUUUCAAACAGGCAGUGUUGAAGACUACUGCAUAGAAUGCAACAUGAUCAACCCUGACACAGACAGUGACAAUGUCAGCAUGGUAUAAAUAUAGAAUAUAACAUUUAUAGAAAUAACAAGAUUUAUUGGUGCUUCUAGUAAUAGAGGAUAAUACAGGGUUCCAGAUGCAUUUAAGUCCACUGUUACAUGUAACGCAUCACAUGAAAUUGACAGUAUGAUGGUCAUUUCUGUCCCUGUAAACGGUUGAUAAUAUGAAAUAGUAUGAACUAGUACUCUCAGUCUCCGAUGGGCACAUCAUGCCUGUCUGAAAUCUGUUCCUGCAAAUGGAAAGGAAACUUACAUUUGCUUGAAGUGCAAAGAAUAAA